rnacentral:lncRNA from 1 species
UGCAUGGACAGAUAUCUCCCUCCCUCCCUCCCUCCCUCCACUUGUUCUGCUCCAUCCCCAGGUGAUCUCCCAGCCCCCAGCAUCUCCCUGAGACCCACAGCAGCCCGGCUGGGUGAAACUGUGCUGCUCCAAUGCACGGUGGUCACCAGCAGUCCCAUUACCCGCGUCAUCUUCUGCCGCGACGGGCAGGAGGUGAGUGCCAUGAAGGGUGAAGAAAAGAGCAUCUACAACCACUAUGAGAGUGCGUCCACAGCCAGCUCUGGCAACUACUCUUGUUUUUAUGAGAUCCGAGACAGCCUGAACCAGGUGACCCGAUCCCAGCUCAGCCCCACGCAACGCCUGCAUGUCCAGGCUCCUGCAUCCUCUCCAGGACAAAAUUUCCUUCUCAUCCUGGGCAUUUCAGUUCCUUGUAUCCUGCUUCUGGCUGCACUGGGAUGCCUGCUAAUUAGGAAAGGGGUUCCCRGCUUCCGGACUAAGAGGGGCCAGAACAAGCAGGGCGACAGUCCAGAGGAUGAAGUUCAAUAUGCCGCCAUCACUGUUGCACGAGUUUCCAAGUCAGCUCGCCCACCAGAAGAUACAGCAUCGACAUAUGCAGCCAUUGCACCGCGGAGGAACCAGCAUCGCUAAGGCAUGGCAAGCUGAUAUCAGGAGCACAGAGGAGAUGGGAUCAUCAGUGGAAGGCCCUGGGUUGUCUGUGGUCCUCUGCCAGGCUCGUGCACCCAGGAAUAUCCUUGCGCAUCUCCCCUGGAGGAGCAUUUCAUCCGCACCCACUCCCUGCUCCACUUUCCUCCUCCUUGUUCUUGCCUCCAUCCACAAGCAAACCGCACAUCCUCUGCUCCGGUGAGAAUUUUCCCCAUCAACGUUUUGCAUAUGUAAAUGAAAUCCUGAGAUGGGCUUAGAAACCCCACUUGUUUUUUUAGAAUAUUUUUUUGCAGCGUAUAGUUGACUUUCUCCCUACUGGUGUAUCAGCUAGAAGCAGUGGGACAUUUAAAUCCAAAACAGAGAUGCUCACACAAUCCUGCGAUAUCAGGCCCAGGCUAGAUGGAGGAAAUCAAGUCUUGAGGACAUACAGCAAAAUUAGAAACCUUGGCAACACUGGGGCUGAUUGCAUCGUGGCACCGCCUUUGACCACCCUGUGAUGCAGCUCUGCAGCUUUGGGAAUGCUGUUUAUUUUAUGUAUCCCUUUUAACAAGUCUUUACAGACAGCAUUGCCCAAUGUUCAUUGAUCCUAGCGGGAGCAUCGACACCCCAUCCCACGUGCAGGCACMAAAACUGAGCACUUUUCUUUUCUGSAGCUGAGCCCCCUCCCCUUGGGACUCUACCUACACAAUGUGWCUCUGGACUGGGGGGGAAACACCAGUUCUGCGGGGUGUUUGGAGGAGCUGCCCACCCUGGGCAACAUGACUGCUGCUAUUGCUUGGUGUGUGCCAAGUCCUUGCAGUCACGGCAGCUCCGGAGGAAUUGUUGGGACUGAUGUUGUUUGUCUCAGUCCAGCURAAAAUUGCAGAGCACUGGGAUUUCGUCCUUGGCAGGCUGGUUUAGUCUCUUGUCCUUGGGAUUCAUCUCUACCCUCUCGCGAGGCAGGGAAACACUGAUCCCAGCCUGCACCUUCCCCUCUCUCUGUUGC